GAUGAACGCUAGCGGCAGGCUUAACACAUGCAAGUCGAGGGGUAUAGUUCUUCGGAGCUAGAGACCGGCGCACGGGUGCGUAACGCGUAUGCAAUCUACCUUUUGCAGAGGGAUAGCCCAGAGAAAUUUGGAUUAAUACCUCAUGGUAUGUGAGAAUGGCAUCAUUUUCACAUUAAAGUCACAACGGCAAAAGAUGGGCAUGCGUCCCAUUAGCUAGUUGGUAAGGUAACGGCUUACCAAGGCAACGAUGGGUAGGGGUCCUGAGAGGGAGAUCCCCCACACUGGUACUGAGACACGGACCAGACUCCUACGGGAGGCAGCAGUGAGGAAAAUUGGACAAUGGGCGCAAGCCUGAUCCAGCCAUGCCGCGUGCAGGAUGACGGUCCUAUGGAUUGUAAACUGCUUUUGUACAGGAAGAAACACUGGUUCGUGAACCAGCUUGACGGUACCGUAAGAAUAAGGAUCGGCUAACUCCGUGCCAGCCGCCGCCGUAACAC
rnacentral:rRNA from 1 species